AUCCAGGCGAUUCCCUCCAACUUUGGCAUGAAGAAUUAGAGCCUGUGAACUCACUGCUGGAUGUUGUGUCUGCAUCAAGUCCUGAUCCAAUGGUCAGUUGAAACAGGAAUAUGCCCCUAUUCACAUGUCUGAGGCUGUAGAAUUUUAUUAACUGCUUAUGGUGUACAAGUACUCCAUCGGUAUGCCCCUAUUCACGUGUUUGAGGCUGUAGAAUUUUAUUAGCUGCUGCUGGUGUAGAAGUACUCAAUCUCAUGUUCUGGAUCAUUGUUUUUCCCUUCCUUUUGUCCUGCUGCAACUUUUUAAUUCAU
rnacentral:lncRNA from 1 species